AAAUAAAUCCCAUCACCUCAAAUAGACCCUCAAGCAUGAAACCAACACAUGUAUUUACCACCUUCACUGCCUUCAUUAUGUAAUGACCUCCUCACCACCUUUAAACCACCUAUAUCGACGUUCGUAGCACACCCGACAUAUUCCGGCGACUUCAUUUUUCUGAUCUACUGCUUAUCUCCAAUCUAAGUCGGAGUUUCGUAUAGAUGAACAAGGCAUCAUAUAGACGAAAUCCUUUAUCUCAGCACUUCAUUUCUGAUCAUCACUUUGGAACCACUAAGGUUAGCAGGGAUGGCGGGAAAGUGUGAAGAGAGCUAAAAUAAAUAAGUUGGAAACUUAGUGUAUAGUUUUAAUAAUGUAUGAAAUAAAUUACCAGGAAUAAAUCUUUUGUAAACUCGUUUGGAUAUUAAUAAAAUAAGCCUUU
rnacentral:lncRNA from 1 species